UACCGGCAGCCCGAGUGAUGGCCGAUCUUAUGGGGCCUAAAGCGUCCGUAGCUGGCCGCGCAAGUCUAUCGGAAAAUCCACCCGCUCAACGGGUGGGCGUCCGGUAGAAACUGCGUGGCUUGGGACCGGAAGGCGCGACGGGUACGUCCGGGGUAGGAGUGAAAUCCCGUAAUCCUGGACGGACCGCCGAUGGCGAAAGCACGUCGCGAGAACGGAUCCGACAGUGAGGGACGAAAGCUAGGGUCUCGAACCGG
rnacentral:rRNA from 1 species